rnacentral:sRNA from 1 species
GUCUGGUGUGGUGGUGCACACCUGUGAUCCGAACCACUCAGGAGGCUGAGGCAGGAGGACGGCAAGUUCAAGGUUAGCUGGGCGACUUAGCAAGAUCCUGUCUCAA